AACCAUCAAGGAUGACUCUACUUUUAGGCCCGCCAUCCUCAGGGAAGACAACCCUUUUGUUAGCAUUGGCCGGAAAGUUGGACCCAAGUCUAAAGGUCAGUGGAGAUAUAACAUAUAAUGGGUAUAAGUUGAAUGAGUUUGUGCCUAGAAAGACAUCUGCAUACAUUAGCCAAAAUGAUGUUCAUGUUGGAGUAAUGACAGUGAAAGAAACCCUAGAUUUCUCAGCAAGAUGCCAAGGAGUUGGGACUCGACAUGAUCUCCUAAGCGAGCUUGCCAGAAGAGAAAAGGAAGCAGGAAUAUUCCCAGAGGCAGAAGUAGACCUUUUCAUGAAGGCAACUGCUAUGAAAGGAGCUGAAAGCAAUCUUUUUACAGACUACACUCUCAAACUGCUGGGGCUGGAUAUCUGCAAGGACACCAUUGUAGGAGAUGAAAUGCUCCGAGGGAUAUCGGGUGGACAGAAAAAGAGAGUAACAACAGGUGAGAUGAUUGUUGGGCCCACAAAAACCCUGUUCAUGGAUGAGAUAUCAACGGGUCUAGAUAGCUCCACAACAUUUCAGAUAGUGAAGUGCUUGCAGCAGAUUGUGCACCUUACAGAGGCCACAGUAUUGAUGUCCCUACUCCAGCCUGCCCCUGAGACAUUUGAUCUGUUUGAUGAUGUCAUCCUCUUAUCGGAAGGACGCAUUGUCUACCAAGGCCCACGACAGCACAUUCUUGAAUUCUUUGAGAGCUGUGGGUUCCGCUGUCCUGAUAGAAAGGGAACUGCUGAUUUCUUGCAAGAGGUUACUUCAAAGAAGGACCAAGAACAAUACUGGGCAGACAAAAAUAAACCAUACAGAUACGUUUCAGUCCCUGAAUUUGCAGAAAGGUUCAAGAGGUUUCAUGUGGGCAUGCAGCUAGACAACGAGCUCUCUGUGCCAUUUGACAAGUCCAAGGGCCAUAAAGCAGCUCUAGCAUUCUCAAAAUAUUCAGUUCCAAAAAUGGAUCUUCUCAAGGCCUGCUGGGAUAAGGAAUGGUUACUGAUUAAGAGAAAUUCUGUGGUUUUUGUCUCCAAGACAGUCCAAAUUAUUAUUGUUGCAAUUAUAGCAUCCACAGUGUUUAUAAAGCCCAGAAUGCAUACGCGAAAUGAAGCAGAUGGAGCAAUAUACGUUGGUGCUCUUUUGUUUACCAUGAUCAUUAACAUGUUUAAUGGUUUUGCUGAGAUCA
rnacentral:misc_RNA from 1 species